rnacentral:rRNA from 1 species
CCUACGGGAGGCAGCAGUGAGGAAUAUUGGACAAUGGGCGCAAGCCUGAUCCAGCCAUGCCGCGUGCAGGAAGAAGCAUCUAUGGUGUGUAAACUGCUUUUGUACAGGAAGAAACACUCCCUCGUGAGGGAGCUUGACGGUACUGUAAGAAUAAGGACCGGCUAACUCCGUGCCAGCAGCCGCGGUAAUACGGAGGGUCCGAGCGUUAUCCGGAAUCAUUGGGUUUAAAGGGUCCGUAGGCGGUUUAAUAAGUCAGUGGUGAAAUCUGGUCGCUCAACGAUCAAACGGCCAUUGAUACUGUUAGACUUGAAUUAUAAGGAAGUAACUAGAAUAUGUAGUGUAGCGGUGAAAUGCUUAGAUAUUACAUGGAAUACCAAUUGCGAAGGCAGGUUACUACUUAUGGAUUGACGCUGAUGGACGAAAGCGUGGGGAGCGAACAGGAUUAGAUACCCUGGUAGUCCACGCCGUAAACGAUGGAUACUAGCUGUUCGGAGCAAUCUGAGUGGCUAAGCGAAAGUGAUAAGUAUCCACCUGGGGAGUACGUUCGCAAGAUGAAACUUAAUGAAUUGACCGG